UGCCAGCAGCCGCGGUAAUACGGAGGGUGCGAGCGUUGUCCGGAUUUAUUGGGUUUAAAGGGUACGUAGGCGGUAUAUUAAGUCAGUGGUGAAAUUCUGCAGCUCAACUGUAGGCGUGCCAUUGAUACUGGUAUACUUGAGUGUUGUAAGGGUGGGCGGAAUUCCGCAUGUAGCGGUGAAAUGCAUAGAUAUGCGGAGGAACACCGAAAGCGAAGGCAGCUCACUAGGCAACAACUGACGCUGAGGUACGAAAGCGUGGGGAGCGAACAGGAUUAGAUA
rnacentral:rRNA from 1 species